rnacentral:rRNA from 1 species
AACGAACGCUGGCGGCAUGCCUAACACAUGCAAGUCGAACGAGACCUUCGGGUCUAGUGGCGCACGGGUGCGUAACGCGUGGGAACCUGCCCUUAGGUUCGGAAUAACUCCCCGAAAGGGGUGCUAAUACCGGAUAAUGUCUUCGGACCAAAGAUUUAUCGCCUUUGGAUGGGCCCGCGUUGGAUUAGCUAGUUGGUAGGGUAAAAGCCCACCAAGGCGACGAUCCAUAGCUGGUCUGAGAGGAUGAUCAGCCACACUGGGACUGAGACACGGCCCAGACUCCUACGGGAGGCAGCAGUGGGGAAUAUUGGACAAUGGGCGAAAGCCUGAUCCAGCAAUGCCGCGUGAGUGAUGAAGGCCUUAGGGUUGUAAAGCUCUUUUACCCGGGAUGAUAAUGACAGUACCGGGAGAAUAAGCCCCGGCUAACUCCGUG